rnacentral:lncRNA from 1 species
CAAUCUGUGAGCAAGAGAAACCACAGAAGUCAGGACAGGUAGGAGAAAGUGAGCAGAUGCUAUGGCUUCAGAAAAAUUGGUGAACCUACAGGAGGAGGUGACCUGCCCCAUUUGCCUGGAGCUUCUAACAGAGCCCCUGAGCCUUGACUGUGGCCACAGUUUCUGCCAAAUCUGCAUCACUGCAAACAGCAAAGAGUCCGUGACUGGCCAAGAGGAGGAGAGAAAGUGCCCUGUGUGCAGAAUCAACUAUGAAUCUGGGAAACUGAGGCCUAACUGGCACCUGGCCAACAUAGUGCAGAGGGUCAGGGAGGUCAAACUGAGCCUGCAAGAGCAAGAGAAACAUCUCUGUGCUCACCAUGGAGAAAAACUCGUGCUCUUCUGUGAAGAGGAUGGGAAGGUCAUUUGCUGGCUUUGUGAGCGGUCCCAGGAGCACCGUGGUCACCCUACAGUUCUCAUGGAGGAGGUUGCCCAGGAAUACCAGAAGAAACUCCAGACAGCUCUGGAGAGGCUGAAGCAGGAGCAGCAGGAAGCUGAGGAGUUGGAGUCUGACUUCAGAGAAGAGAUUGCUGCCUGGAAGAGUCAAACACAAUAUGAGAUACAAAAUGUCCAGGCAGAGUUUGAAAAACUGAGAGCAAUCCUGGACAGUGAGGAGACGAAGGAACUACAAAAGCUGAAGGUUGAGGAGACAGCCACUCUGUGUACCAUAGCAAACUCUGAGAAUGAGCUGGCCCAGCAGAGCCAGUUGGUGAGAAAUCUCAUCUCAGAAAUAGAGCAUCGUCUGCGGGGGUCAACAAUGCAGAUGCUGCAGGAUGUAAAUGACAUCUUGAAAAGGAGUAACACUUUGACUCUGAAGAAGCCAAAACCGGUUCUCAAGGAACAGAGAAGUGUGUUUCGAGCUCCUGAUCUGAGAGACAUACUGCGAGUAUUUAGUGGGCUGAGAUAUAUGCAACGCUAUUGGGUUGACGUGACCCUGAGUCAUACAACAGGUAAUCGAAACAUUGCCAUUUCUGCUGAUCGAAGACAAGUGACAUAUGUGCACAAAGACCAAAGAAAUAAUCGAUGUUGGGAAGAAGUUGAUUAUGAUUAUGGUGUCCUGGGAUCCCCAGUUAUCACAUCAGGGAGACAUUACUGGGAGGUAGACGUGUCAGAAAAACGUGCCUGGAUCCUGGGGGUAUAUGGUGAAAAACAAGCUGAAUAUAAUACAAAGUUACCACUUACAGCUGAUGGAAAUCAUCAAAAUGUUUACUCGAGAUACCAACCUAAAAAUGGCUACUGGGUCAUAGGUUUAAAUUAUGAUUCUGUAUAUAAUGCUUUUGAUGAGUCUUCCUCCUCAGAUCCCAUGAUCUUAACUCUCUCCCUGAAUGUUCAUCCUCGUCGUAUUGGAAUUUUCCUAGACUAUAUUGCUGGCAUUCUCUUAUUUCUCAAUAUCACAAACCAUGGGUUUCUCAUCUAUAAAUUCUCUUCAUGUUCCUUUUCUCAAAAAACAUUUCCGUAUUUCAAUCCUAUGACCUGUAAAGUCCCCAUGAAUCUGUGCUCGCCAAGCACUCAAACCUUCUCACAUCCACCUCUCUGUAGUGACCCUUGCUAUGUGUGA